UCUGGGGUCUCACUUGAGGCUAACUGUAGUUUGUCACUUUUGAUCACGUCUCAAAUAUCCACUUCUAUGUUUGCAAAUAUGAGAUUUAGUUCAUGCUGCGUAAAGUUGGCGAGUUUGGAGUAUGCCUCAUUUGUGAGUCAAGCACUUGCUUGGAUGCCAUUCUUAGACCCGAUUAUAAAACAACAUUUCAAAUUUCCUGCACAGCUUCCUAAGCCCUGGCAGGACCAUGGGCUAACAUCUGUGCCAGCAAAUCUUCCAACGAGAUCCGGACAUGUGACAGCUAUGGCUGUGGGCAGUACUCUGCUCAAAGAACCCAAAGGCAUCACCCAGGAGUGGACGUCCUGUGCUCCGAUGGAGCUGUGGUCUACGCACCAUUUACCGGGAAGAUAGUGGGCCAGGAGAAACCCUAUAGAAACAAAAAUGCCAUCAAUGAUGGCGUUCGACUGUCUGGAAGAGGUUUCUGUGUCAAAAUUUUCUACAUUAAGCCAAUUAAGUAUAAAGGUUCUAUCAAAAAGGGGGAGAAGCUGGGCACCUUGCUGCCCCUGCAGAAAGUUUACCCUGGCAUACAGUCGCAUGUACACAUUGAAAACUGUGAUUCCAGUGAUCCCACAGCAUAUCUAUAAGCAGAGGCAAAGACCAGAUCUCUUAAGUUCAAAGCCAUCUCAGAAACUGGAACCUCUCCUGCUCCUGAGGAAACGCGCCACCUAGAGGGGCAGGGUGUUUUACGUUUUCAGUUUUUAAGUUCUGGUGACUGAAAUAAACAAAUGAACGCCCACA